AGUAGAAUUGCUGGGUCUUAUGAUAACUCUAUGUUUAACUUUUUGAGGAACUACCAGACUAUUUCCCAAAGUGGCUGCAUCAUUUUACAUUCCCACUAGUAGU
rnacentral:pre_miRNA from 1 species